UUGCAUAUUAGGCGGCAAAUGAUAUUCAUGGGCCAAGGGCAGCUUCGGGAAGAGCGACAAAGUGAGCUGCCGGACUAAUAUUCGUUGAAAGUGCGAAGACCAACAGAGAAAGGUACCCACGGGGCAAAGGAUUAAGAGUCAAAGAGAGGAGAGCCGAGGGGCCGGGCAGUCAGGGAAGCUGGGCGUGGGAGGCCUGGGCAGAGGCCGCAAAGCGCGUCUGCAGCCAGCCGCCUUCUCUCGGAACGCCUUUUCAGCUCCCCCACACUCAGCCCCUCUCAGGGCCGCCCUUGCCCCAGCGACAACGGCGAGAGCAGCUGUUUCCGCCCGGCCGGGGACCAAGGAGAAGGCAUCCCUGAGGCGGGCGGGCAGGCCAACAUCUGAGUGAGCAAGAGGUGAUUCCGAGACCACUGCCGCCGAACCAACGCCAAACUUCUCCCUUUCCUCGUCUUAGCCUUCUUUAUCACCCAACUUCCCAGCCGGCUGGUGUCCGCUUCGACCGACCGAGACCCCCUCCCCCGCCCUUCUCGCCACCUCUCACCCCUCCCCAACGUCCUGAAGCUGGGAAAGGACCUGCUACCAGGGCCACUCCCGAGCCCGUCCGGGUGCCCCAGAGUCCCAGACACCGCCCCCGACAAAACGCUUGCGUCCUCUCGGCGGCUCCCUCGCCCGCCCAGAUGCUGCAAACUCCUCUCACCUGCAUUGACGCCAUGAUGGAACCAUCCCCCCAAGGCCGGCGAGGCCAGAGACGCAGGGGGCGGAGUUGCCGUGCUCGCGUCACGCCGCGGGGGCCCAGCAUCCUGGGCGCCGGGGGCGGGGCCUCCGGUGGGAAGGGGACGGCGGGAGGGGAUUGGCUGGCGCGCUGAGCCUCCGGGGGGGGGGGGGGGGGGGGGGGGAGGGGCAGGCGAGAACGCGGUAAAUGGCGUUGUUGGUACCUUCAGUCACAUCGUGCUCUCGGGCGUCCGCGGUUGCCCCACCCGCUACUCCUGUCGCCCAAGAAACGCCGCUUCUGGUCUGACCUGGCCACGAAUUCCAUCCUAUUGCCAGAAAUGGGCUGGUUUUCCCUUUGUUGUGCAAAAGGAUGGUGUCCUUGAGGAAUGUUUGGAGGCUCUUAGCAACCAGGAAUCAUCUGGAAGCGUAUCUGGUGUCAGCUCAGUUGUGUUGUUAACAUUUCAACUGGAGGUACCUGAUCUUCAGAAGUUCAUCCAUUACCAGAAGUGUAUAAACCUCAAGAUAAGAAUACCUUUACUGAAGAGUGAUCUCUAUGCUCAUGAGGCUGAAACUCAUGACUCCAAGAUCAAGAGUCACGUGCUCUAUGGACUGAGCCAACAAGCCAGCUAUCACCUCCCCAGUAAAGCUAUUUUUAAAAAGGGAAAAGCAUUUCAAGAUUUUAACACACUGAUACC